GGGAUAUCAAUACAGGAGAGUCAAAGAACAGUAAUGAAAUUCUUUUUUCUAGUAUUUGGGAACAAAGUAUAUAUUUAACAAAUAAAUUCUGGUAUCAUCCCGUUACAUCCCUGAUUCAUACAAAACUAAUAACCAAAAAAAAAAAAAAAACACUGCUCGUGAGAAUGGUUCUAGACAAAUGGGUCCAUAUCCAUUCAGCUUCUCUUAUUAACAUUUCCCCAAAGCAUUAGCAGCUAGAAAAAUCCUGAUAAAGCAAAACUUAAUUGAAUCUAGAAAAGUAAGCAGAGGACCAGUUUAGAGUGUUAAACCAGAAGAAAUAAAAGAAAAUCGAAACGUUAAUCUACUCAUACCCUCUCUAUAACUGAACAUAUACAUUAAACACUAACUUACAUUACCCAGCAUUAACCCAAAAAAACUACUAACACAUAAAUGGAAGAAAUCGAUUGUUUUAAUAAUCUAAUCUAUGUAUAAUUAGAAACAAGAAAAGCAUUAACCCAACCGGCCCUAGAAACCCACAAUGAAACAAACAACAUAAAAUCCUGAAGGGGAAAGAAAGCAUUAGGAACUUAAAUGGCAGCAAAGAACUCACC
rnacentral:misc_RNA from 1 species